rnacentral:lncRNA from 1 species
CCACACAAUCUUCCAUAAAAUAAUAUUACACGUAAAUCGAAAAAUUUUCCUUCUUUUUCAACCAUUCAUUUUUCAAAAAAUACUAUUCCACCCAUUAAUUUUUCCACGUAAUGGGGGCCAAACAGGGGCUUAUCAUUUCAACAUUUCCCUUUCCACUCCUUUUCCUCUCCUCUCGUCUCUGUCGACUGCCAACGACGGAACGACCGAACCAAAAUCUAAAUCAAUUUCUCUUAGAAUUUCUGCAAAUGCAAAAGAAGAAAACGCGAGGAACGAUUAUCCACGAUCCAAAUCGCAAAGCCAAACCCUAACCCCGCAAUCAAUUUCGAACCUCCAUCGACGGCUUCCCAAAAUCUGAUUUUCGAGUUGCCAGUCUCACCGCACAGCACACGCAGGUUAAAGAAAUCUGAUUUACUGUGUUUUUCCUUGUUAUUCAUUCUACUCCUUUGCUCCGUCUUUUGAUUUACAUUGGUGAUUGCAAGUUGCUUUUUUUUUUUUUAAUAAUCUUGUUCAAUGAAUAAUGUGCAUCACUAGGAUUUGCUUUAUGUUGUUUAUUAUACAUCUUUCUCAGUCAUGGUAACAAACUGAUUUUAGAUUUCUUUUGUCAGCUUCAAAAAUAGGAGAAACAAGUAAUAUAGUAUGUUAACUCAUUUAAUAAAUUGUAGACAGAAAACGCAUUUAUACGGUAAAGGUUUACAUAAAUUUGCAGUAAAAAUGCAAAAAACACGAAAUAUGUGGUAGAAAUUGCAGAAAGCAUCAAUUAAAACAUCAAAUUUCUAACGAUAGUCAUAUUACAAAAUAUAUAAUCUCACAGAUUCCAAUGCUUUAAUGUUUAUAUUUAACCAGACUUGAUUGCAAAAAGAUUGAUUAAAUCCAGUAUAAAGAUAAUUUUAGACAUUCACAUUUAAGAUGACAACAUGAUGCACCAUGCUGGGAUCAUAAUAUUUUCUUUUUUUUGUUUAGGCCCUUCCGAUUGUUUGCAGGACAGCUGGUCUGAUAGCAAGGCAAGGACCUUCUCUAAAUCGACCUUAAGUAGACUCCUCGGUAACCCUACAUUCUUUACAAUCCAAACAUUUGCCAUGUUAGCUCUUAAUAUAAAAAGUAUUUUUCUCUUGGUGAUUUUAGAUUUAUUUUGCUUUUGGGUGGUUUUUCUCUGCUGUUUUCUUUUCCUUCUUUAUUUUACUCUUCCCUUUUCACUUAAAAUAUGGUUUCCUGCUGAAGAAGAAAAUAUAAAGGUCAGUUGUCUGAAAUCGCAUUGAGUCACUGUCACUACAUUUUAAUGAUCCCCCAAAUAUAGUUAAUAUUGUGAGAAAUGUGAACUGUAUUUGAAAAUCUGAUCCUUUUUUGGUUCCAAAAGCUUGGAUUUGAAAAUCUUUUUUGACCGGGCCUCAAUUUGUAAUCUACUAAACACAAAAAUUCAUUUUAGGUUAUUUUUUAAUCUCACGUGAGCUUUUACAUAUUUAGGCUUACAAGAAACAUGUUAUGCACACAUGCAAUUUAGUCUCCCCUUGAAGAGGGUUAAAUAGAUAGUUAAACAAAUGAAGCAAGCAAUAGACUAUCAGUUCUAUAUAACUUGUGUCUUCAAUAAAUGCCUCCUGAUGAAUAACUUAAGAUAUUUAAUCUUGGGUGUCUGGCUUGGCUGCAAAUAAAUCUGCUAAGCAGGUUUCUUUUCAGGAGGAAUUUGUUGCAGUUCUCAGAAAUUGCAUAUUAUUAAUAGUCACACAACUAGUAGCAGAAACAAAAAGCGUGUUAUCCUCCUCACAGGCUUUUGUAGCAGCUAAUCAUAGAGAAUAUAUAGUUUGAUUUUGCUGCAGUAAAAACGCAAGUUUUGAAGUCAAUAUUUGUAGUUUCCGAACAAGUUUUGAAGUCAAUAAAAAUAGGCUUACUUUCCUUUUUUGCAUGUCUCAAAUUAUAGGCUACUUUCCUUAUUGAGAUUAUGGUUGAUUUUUUAGUUUUCUAUUAUGCCCCUAUUUAAUAUGCUUUAUUUUCAACAACUAUGAAUUACAUCUAUUUAUGUUGAAUACCUACCUUUCAUUCAAAUUACAACUUUUUAUUCAAACUUUAAAUAAAUUUAUCAUGGAAACAAACUUGAGUUGAGACAUAUAUUUGGCCCAAGUAGUGCUGGAAGUAUUGGAUUAGGACCAAUAUGUGAGGAAGAUAGCACAACCGAUGUACCGGAGAGCAAUGUCCCGCAAGAAGAUCCAGUUGAUUUGUUACCAAAUGCGGAUGAAAGGACAAUAGACCUAAGUGACGAUGAGCGUGAUAUUGAAGAAAUAUCAUUUGGAAAGAGGAAAUUGACUUCAAUUGUGUGCUCCCACUACAAAAGAUAGAAAAUUGGUGAGAAAUGGAAGGCUGUAUGCAAUCAUUACAAGAAACAGUUAGGGGGUGAAACAAAAAAUGAUACAAAGCAUUUGCAUGAUCAUUUGAAGAGAUGUGUAUUCCGUUAUAAGGAUAAUACUCACCAAGCAACAUUAAAUUUCAAAAAGGAUGCCACGAGUGGCAAGAUCACAAUGGGUACUUACUCUUUCGAUCCAGAUAAGUGUAGAUAUAGUCUUUCGAAAAUGGUGAUUUUGCAUGAGUAUCCUUUGUCUAUGGUUGAUCACAUUGGAUUUCGAGAGUUCUUACACGACCUACAACCAUUGUUUAAGGUUCCUUCUCACAACACUUUGAAGAGCGACAUUUUGAAAAUCUAUGAAUACAAGAGAGCCAAAAAUAUGAUUGCACUCGAAAAGAUUGAGAGUCGAAUUUCGAUCACUACCGACAUGUGGACCUCUUCUAAUCAAAAGAGAGGAUUCAUGGUUAUCACUGCUCAUUUCAUAGAUGAUGCGUGGAAAUUACAGAGUCGAGUCAUGAGGUAUAGUAAAACAUUACAUUCACUUGUUCCCAUAAUUUACUAAAAUGAUAUUCUUUUAGUUGAUUUAAUUUGUUCUUGAAUGAACUCAAGUUUAUAUAUGUGUCGUGCCCACACACUGCUGAUGUGCUUUCAGAAACUCUAUUAAGCACCUUGAUGGACUGGAAUGUUGAUCGUAAGUUACUAACUUUGACCGUAGAUAAUUGCACCACAAAUGAUGCAAUGUUCAGUAUUGUGCUAAGUCAAAUUUGUACUCGUUCUCUUGUACUGAAUGGUGAAUUUUUUCAUUUGAGGUGUUGUGCACAUAUAUUAAAUUUUAUUGUGAAGGAUGGGUUGGACGUUAUUAGUGGUAGUGUUGAGAAAAUUCAUGAUAGUGUUGCUUAUCGAACAGCCACACCAAAGAGAUCUGAAAAGUUUGAGCUCUUUGCACAUCAAUUGAAAAUUGAUUGUGAGAAAAAAUUGGUGCUUGAUUGUAAAACAAGGUGGAAUUCGACGUAUUUGAUGCUUAGUACUGUUUUGAUUUAUCAGGAUGUUUUUCCAUGUUUGAAAUAGAGGGAGUCACGAUGUAAAUGUCCCUAGUGAUGUUGAUUGGGAUUUAGCAAAAGAAAUAUGUGAGAAGUUAAAGGUUUUUUUCGAGGUUACUGAAUUGUUUUCAGGAACAAAGUAUCCAACUGCUAAUCUCUUCUUUGCAAAUGUUUGUGAUAUCAAACUGUCGUUGUAUGAGUGGCUUGAAUCUCCUUAUGUGGAAGUUCAAAAGAUGGCAACCAGUAUGAUGAAAAAGUUUAAUAAGUAUUGGAGCGAUAUUCAUGAAAUUUUGACUUUAGUAGCAGUGUUGGAUCUGAGGUAUAAGAUGAUGUUAGUUAAGUUUUAUUAUCCUCGUAUUUUUAAUCACAAUGCCGCAAGUGAGAUUGACAAAAUAUAUCAAGUUUGUAGCAAGUUGGUGCACGAUUAUUAGAAAAAGAAUGAUUCAAGUGGGUCUGUAGCUCAGUCUUCUACUUUUUCUUGUCAAAUUGAGAUGUCAAGUGUUAAUAAUAAAUCAGAUCGCAUGGCGGAUUUUUAUAAAUUUGUUUGUAAUGUUGAAGCUCCUAGUAGUGUGAAAAUCGAGCUUGAUACUUUUUUGGAUGAGCCUAUAUUGCCUCGGUCAGAUGAUUUUGAUAUAUUGACAUGGUGGAAGGUGAAUUCAAACAAAUAUCCGACUUUAUCUCGAAUUGCAAAAGAUAUUUUGGCCAUCCCGGUAUCUACUGUGGCAUCCGAAUCUGCUUUCAGUACUAGUGUUAGAUUUGUUAGUCCACACAGAAAUAGACUUCACCCCAAAACUUUGGAGGCUUUAAUGUGUGCUUAAGAUUGUUUAUGGACCGAUAUUCACGGUAUGAUGUAUAUAAUCAUUUGCUUUUUAUAUUGUUUCUUUUAUAAAUUUUCUUAUUAUUAAUUAUUUUAUUUUAUUUAUAGCGAAUUCUGCACCGUCUGCAUAUUUUGGAAGUUGUUCCAAGAUGAAUGAUGAGGAUGUUGAUGAUGAGAUAAUUUUAUUUAUCACAUAAUUUAAAUUUUAAUCAUAGUUAUUAUGAUGAUAUUGAGUAUAAUAUUUCUUUGUUUUUCAGGAUCCAUCUUUUACAAUAUCUAAACUUGUCGAUGAAUGAAGUUAUGAAGAUGGAAAAAUAUCAAAUUUAUUUUUGGAUAAAGAAGUAAAAUUUAGUUACAAUGUAAUUGUAUUUGUAAUUGUUUAUUUUCGAAUAUUGUUUGUUUUGAGUACUUAAUUUGGAUGUUAGCGUUUUCACUUUUCAAAUUGUGAAUUUGAGGGGAAAAAAAUAAAAAUAAA